rnacentral:rRNA from 1 species
GCAAAUCAAUAUAAAUUGAUUUAUAAUUUAUUUAUUAAUUUUUAAUUUUUUUUUUUUAAUUUAUUAAAAAUAAUUAUAUAAUUUAUUGUUUUAGUAAUUUUUAAUGAAAAAAUAAUAUUAAUAAUAGUGUAUUAUGUAUUGUGAAAGAUAAUUGAAAUAUUUUGAAAAAUUUUUAUAAUAAAAGAAGAUUUUAUUUAUUGUACCUUGUGUAUCAGGGUUUAUUAAAUAAUUGAUAAUUAUUUAUUUAUCUCGAUUUUAUAAGAGUUAAUAAUUUAUAAAAUUUAAUGUGUCAAAAUUAUUUUAAAUAGAUUAUUGGAAAUGAAAUGUUAUUCGUUUAUAAAGGUAUCUAGUUUUUUUAGAAAUAAAUUUAAUUUAUAAAUUUUUGAUUUUAUAUUUAUUUAUUUAAUUAUAAAAAUUAUUAAUUUAAAUAUUUUAAGGGAUAAGCUUUGAAAUAAAUUUUUAAAAAUUAAUAAAUAUUUAGGUAAGAUGUAUGUAUAGAAUUAGCAAUCAUUUUUAAGUUUGUUAUAAAUUAUUUUAUGAUUGAUUUUUAUUAUUUAUUUAUGUUUUAAUUUUUUAUAAAAAUUUUUUUAUAAAUUUUUUAUAAAAAUAAAUAAUGAUAAAAUUAGUAUAUUUUAUUUAUUGUAUUAAAUAAUUUUAGAUGAUAAGUUUAUUUAAAGAACUCGGCAAAUAUUUUAUACUCGCCUGUUUAACAAAAACAUGUCUUUUUGAGUUAUUUUUAAAGUCUAGCCUGCCCACUGAAUAAAAUUUAAAUGGCCGCAGUAUUUUAACUGUGCAAAGGUAGCAUAAUAAUUAGUCUUUUAAUUGAAGGCUGGUAUGAAUGGUUGGACGAAGUAUAAACUGUUUCAUUUAAAUUUAUAGUAGAAUUUUAUAUUUUAGUUAAAAAGCUAAAAUUUUAUUAAAAGACGAGAAGACCCUAUAAAUCUUUAUAUUUUAUAUUGAUUAAAUUUUUUAGUUAUUUUUUAUUUUUUGAAUAUUAAAUAUUUUAUUGGGGUGAUGUUAAAAUUUAAUAAACUUUUAAUUAUUAAAAUUCAUUAAUUUAUGAUUUAUUGAUCCGUUAAUAACGAUUAUAAGAUUAAGUUACUUUAGGGAUAACAGCGUAAUUUUUUUGGAGAGUUCUUAUCGAUAAAAAAGUUUGCGACCUCGAUGUUGGAUUAAGAUAUAUUUUUAGGUGUAGCUGCUUAAACAUUAAGUCUGUUCGACUUU